rnacentral:rRNA from 1 species
AUCUAUGGUCAUAGCACCCUGAAUGCUUGUCUGAUUCAGGAAGCUAAGCGAGGUAGGGCCUGCUUACCAAUUGUUAAGGGAGACCACCUGGAAGUACUAGGUACUGUAGUAU